AACGCACAUUGCGCCCCCUGGUAUUCCGGGGGGCAUGCCUGUCCGAGCGUCAUUGCUGCCCUCAAGCACGGCUUGUGUGUUGGGCCCCCGUCCCCGGUCUCCCCGGGGACGGGCCCGAAAGGCAGCGGCGGCACCGUGUCCGGUCCUCGAGCGUAUGGGGCUUUGUCACCCGCUCUGUAGGUCUGGCCGGCGCCUGUCGACACCAACCCCUAAUUUUUUUUAAGGUUGACCUCGGAUCAGGUAGGGAUACCCGCUGAACUUAA
rnacentral:misc_RNA from 1 species